UGUUUUACACAAAUAAACUGUUUACAUUUUCACAGCCUCUGCAGACUUUUUCACUCUGUAGAAAGGUGUUUCACCAUGCUGAAUGUAUCUUCCAACUACUUGCUUCGUGGAUACUGUUUUUUCAACCAAGCUGAAUUUACUUUAUUAAUCCAGUAGGUUUUAUUUUCCUCUGCUCUGUGGAAACACUGCCUGCAGUUCAACGGAAAACUCUCUGAAUCUGAGUCAUUCAUGAAGAAUCAGUUGUGUUGAGGAGGGAAGAAGCUUUGGUUUCUUACAGAAUCUGGUACAUACGUUUUCGUUUUAUGAGCAUUUAUAAAUGACAUGUAAAACUGUAGUGACUAAGCCUAAACUUAAAGCCACUGAGGGCUGCAUAGACAGGGAUGGUAGUCUGAUGCGCUCUUCCGUAGCACUUCUGGUGAAAUUAAGAGUCCAAAACCAGCGUCUUGAGUUAUAUGGGGUUUAUUUGCUCACCUCAAUCCAAUAUUGAGUGGACACCUACAAGUGCAUGUAUCCAGUUUUACCAAUAAAAAGUCGCAGCUCCAUACGGUCAAAAACUAUUUGCCCUUUCUUCCGUCGAGCAACACCUGUUACUUGACAGACGGUUCCUACCUUAAAUACGUGCCCUUAAUCCCUUAGAGUGCUAUCUGGUGAAUAAAUUAGUGUCCUAUACACAUUGACACACGCAUUGUUGUAACUGGCUCCUACAAAAAGCGAGGGAUUUUCGUUGAAAUAUCACAAUUUGAAACUUAGAUUGGUGUUCGAGGAUCAUUGGAGAGUUGUAAAUCCGACAAUUCUUUCUGCUUUUUAUAGCUUCUAACUGAUGAAUGGCGUCAUUUUGGCAUUUUUUGAGUUAAGAUGCCUUUAAAACCCGACCGGUAUUCGCGUGCAGAGAAUUAAUAUCACUGGACUGUUUAGUCUCUUAAAGUCUGACUGCGGCCAAAGAAAAAGGAAUCAAAGCCUUAAUCAUCUUAAGGUGACAAGGUGACGGUCCAGGAAAUAAAGACAGAAAGUACAAAAGACAACAAAAUCAUGUUUAAACACAUCUCUUUAACUCCACCAAACAUUUUAAACAUAAGAUGAGUUUAGAAAAACAGCGGACUGCUCCUUUAACAUAACAGCACAGAUCUUACAACAUCUUUUAAAUCAACCACGAUUCUCAGAACAGUUUUCAUUGAGCUUUUUCUUUGGCGUAACAAACAGCUGACAAGCUCGCAGCAUACAUUCCCGGCUGUCUCCGAUAGAAAUAUCAAGGCGCGUUAGAAAAAUAAAAACCUGAUCCAGCACAGCUUCUCCCAGUAGGAACAUACGGAGCUAAACUGGGAAAGAACCAGUUUCUUCUGGUAAGGCGUUUAGUCCGCUUCACACCCGCAGAGUUCAGUAAAGAUCGCAGCAUCAGGAAACCCAGGACAUGACUGCAGAUUUCCAGCAGGUUCUCGGCCACAUCGGCGAAGGCGGGAAAAGUUUGUUUGUGAAUAAAAAGGCAGGAAACACUGAGCAGCGACAAACAUGUUAGAAGGUAAGUACGUUGGAGUUUCAGGCAGCAACAAACAAGUCUGAGGUUUCAAGAAUAAAGUCGAAAUAUAUCCAGAAAGAAGUGGCACUGCUAUGAGAAAAUAAAAUGUCACAUUAAAAAAAAAAAAAGGGUAAAAUUUUAAGCAUGAAGUUGUAAUGACUACAAGACGAUUUCCAAAAUGCAAAGUAAAAUGAAGUUGGUAUGUUUUCAAGAAGAAAUUUGCAAUACUAAGUCGGAAUGUUUUAAGAAAACACAACAUUUGAUGAAAAACAUAACAUUAGUAAUAUUUUGAGGGUACAGUUAGAACAGCUAGAAAACUAAUUGUUUUUUCAGGAAACAAGUGGAAGUCUGAAUAUUUUGAGGAUAAAUUCAGAACAUUUUGGGAAAAAAAAUGCAAAAUCAUGAGCAAGAAGUUGUAAUAUUUUGAGGAUGAAGUCUGAAAUAUUCUGGGAGUAAAGUAAUAUUAGCUAAACAAAGUUCUUUGUUUUUUUGUUUGUUUUUAAGAAAACAGUGCAAGAACAAAGUCAAAACCUUUCCAGACCAAGUUUGAAUAUUUAUAAAGUCCUAAUAUUUGUUAAAAAAAAAAAGAGAAAUAAAAAUAAAUUAUUUAA